AAGACUCCGACAGUUUCUCCAGCAAGGGAGCCGCCAUCUUUCUUGUGGGCGGAAUCCUAUCUUAUGCGACGAGUCAGUCAACUUUGGAGGGUCCUCCUCUGAUGUCUUCAUCAUUAUUAUAUCAGGAAUAAUUUCUUCUGAAUCCCGUUUCUUAAAGUUUUUGCUACGAAAUAACCAAAUGUGGGCAGUAAGCCUAUCUGACCGUGAAGCAAGCAAAAAA